GACGAACGCUGGCGGCGUGCUUAACGCAUGCAAGUCGAACGGAAAGGCCCUGCUUUUGUGGGGUGCUUGAGUGGCGAACGGGUGAGUAACACGUGAGUAACCUGCCCUUGACUUUGGGAUAACUUCAGGAAACUGGGGCUAAUACCGGAUAGGAGCUCCUGCUGCAUGGUGGGGGUUGGAAAGUUUCGGCGGUUGGGGAUGGACUCGCGGCUUAUCAGCUUGUUGGUGGGGUAGUGGCUUACCAAGGCUUUGACGGGUAGCCGGCCUGAGAGGGUGACCGGCCACAUUGCGACUGAGAGACGGCCCAGACUCCUACGGUAGGCAGCAGUGGGGAAUAUUGCACAAUGGGCGGAAGCCUGAUGCAGCAGCGCCGCGUGCGGGAUGACGGCCUUCGGGUUGUAAACCGCUUUCGCCUGUGACGAAGCGUGAGUGACGGUAAUGAGUAAAGAAGCACCGGCUAACUACGUG
rnacentral:rRNA from 1 species